rnacentral:lncRNA from 1 species
GAAUGUUGUCUGUUACAUUUAUUGGUUUGUGAGUGUUUUCUGAAAAACUGCAGUGUCUGUGAAGACCAAUUUCCAUGCUGGCAUGCAUCCAAAUAUUAAUGCACAGAGGCACAGAAUUAGAGCAACGAGAGCAUAGUCAAACACUAGCACGCCCCAUCCCCCCUUUAUUGCUUGUUUUGCUUAGUACUUCUUAGAACAAAAAUAAGAAACUCGAAUUCAACGUUCAACUGCCAAAGAAACAAUAACAACAGGGCACAUACUCAGGGCUUGAAUGAAAUUGUAAACACUAGCUGGCGCAAAACAGUAGACAUUGACUAUUCAAAUUUGAAUCCAGGUCUCGGGGAAGUGAAAAGCUUUUCUGUACU